CCUACGAGAGUCAGCAGUGGAGAAUUUUGGACAAUGGGCGCAAGCCUGAUCAAGCUAUUCCGCGUGUGGGCAGCCGGCCUUCGGGUUGUCAACCACUGUUGUAGAGAACGAAAAGUCUAUUGAUAAUACCGAUAGACGAUGACGGUACUCUACGAAUAAGCCACGGCUAAAUACGUGCCAGCAGCCGCGGUAAUCCGUAGGGAGCGAGCUUUAAUCGUAAUUAAUGGGCGAAAAGGGGGUGCAGGCGGUUUUGCAAGAUGGAUGUGAAAGCCCCGGGCUUAACCUGUGAAAGCCAUACAUGACUGCAAGACGAGAGUGCAUCAGAGGGGGGUGGAAUUCCAAGUGUAGAAGUGAAAUGCGUAGAGAUUUGGAAGAACACCGAUGGCGAAGGCAGCCCCCUGGGACGCAACUGACGCUCAUACACGAAAGCGUGGGGAGCAAACAGGAUUAGAUACCCUAGGAGUC
rnacentral:rRNA from 1 species